GGGCCAUAGCUCAUUGGUAGAGCAUCUGAUUUUUCAUGCAGAAGGUCCCAGGUUUAAUCCCCAGCACCUCCA